rnacentral:rRNA from 1 species
UACGUAGGGUGCAAGCGUUAAUCGGAAUUACUGGGCGUAAAGCGUGCGCAGGCGGUUCGCCAAGUCAGGUGUGAAAUCCCCGGGCUUAACCUGGGAAUUGCGCUUGAAACUAGCGGGCUUGAGUGUGGCAGAGGGGGGUGGAAUUCCACGUGUAGCAGUGAAAUGCGUAGAGAUGUGGAGGAACACCGAUGGCGAAGGCAGCCCCCUGGGUCAACACUGACGCUCAUGCGCGAAAGCGUGGGGAGCAAACAGG